rnacentral:rRNA from 1 species
GACGAAGGGGGCUAGCGUUGUUCGGAAUUACUGGGCGUAAAGCGCGUGUAGGCGGUUGCCAAAGUCGGGUGUGAAAGCCUUGAGCUCAACUCGAGAAAUGCACUCGAUACUUGGUGACUAGAGGACCGGAGAGGAUAGUGGAAUUCCCAGUGUAGUGGUGAAAUACGUAGAGAUUGGGAAGAACACCAGUGGCGAAGGCGGCUAUCUGGACGGUUUCUGACGCUAAGACGCGAAAGCGUGGGGAGCAAACAGG